rnacentral:lncRNA from 1 species
GUGAACACAGAUGUACCAAAAUCCCAUUUCUGACAACAUUCAAACUACAUUUACCACUAUUAGUGAAAAAACAACUGAAUUUGGUUCAGCUGGCAAAUAAUCAAGUCUCUUUAUUUCAGACACUUUUGGGAAAGAAUGGCAAAACAAGGUACACCUGACUGUGUGAAGUACCCUGAUGCAAGCAUGGCCAACUACCAGAAUGAAAUGAAAACAAAACAAAACCCACCAAACAGCUUUUUGAUUAUAACCCAGUCGGAGCCCAAAAAAAAGCCAGGCCAGUAGCUUCAACAUGUAUGACCAUCUCUGUUCUCCCAUAGUAACAGAGGGAAACUUGGAGAGAUGUCUUCAAGCUUUCUGCAGGGAAAGAUCUACAUUAGAAAUUACUUUGAAAGAAGCUGGCAAGGAUCCUGGUGCUACAAGGGACUGGUCAUGUGUGUAACUACGAAUUCCUUCAGAGAGACAAAACCUCCUUGCUGCUUUAACCUGUUCUCAUGUUCUUGGCUCAGCCUCAGAGCUGGAGAUGUGACAGGACCACUUUCUUCUCCACUCACCCCGGAUUUCUUUGUGGUUAUUACUGGCAACAGUUCCUGUCUCAGCCUUCCGUAAAUUUGAGUUGUGAAUCAGGUACCUAUCCUUCAGCUGUCCCGUGUCUACAUUCAGAUGUCAGUAAAGAUGAUAAUUUGGCUCUUAUUUCCAUUAUUGUGAGAUUGCAAAUGACAUCACUAAAUCUGCAAAGACUGACUUCCCACUGAUUACCUUGCAAUUCAAGACCCUCCCUUGAAGUUUAUCUACCUUUCUUUUUACCCCUGAGACUACUAUUACAUGCUCCCUGCUGGGACAGAGAGGCGGAUUCCUUCUAUCCCUCAUUUGCAGCCUCCUAGGCAUUAUAGUUCUUCAAACUGGCUUCUUACUUUGUUCCUCCCAUAGUCACUUGUGUAAAAAAAAAAUAGACCAGAGAUGUUAUAAAGCACCGUCAAAGAAAACUGGGUAUGCAGAUGGUGGUUUUAUGCAAACACUGUGCAGGUUUAAAUGACAAAUGUGGAGGUCAGUCACAUCUAGCUUGAAUUUAUCAGAAAGAAGAGGGAGAUAAAAAUGUUAGCCUCCCUCCCCCUCAGCAGUGGGGAAUAUGGUAAUCCAAGGGAUUGGAUCACUAGAUUCCAUUAAGUUCACAUAGCUGCCCCCUUCCCUGCAGCACUCAGGCUAGGUUUGGUGCUCUGUUAUCCAUCUUACUAGGAAUGGGUCUAUUACUGUCUUUUCCAUUUAAUUCCUUAUAUACAUUCCCUUGAUUUUCUUUGUUAAUUACUUCCAAAUAAAAAAAGAAAAUAGAGCUAUAUAUAUGGGUUUUACUCUUUCCCAUCACUAGUUUCUAGAACUAAUUUCAGCUAAUUCUUGUUUCAGCUAACCAUCUUUCUAGAAUACAUUUCUAUGUACAGAAUAGAACUGCUCAGAAGGGAAGUAUGAGUCCUUAUCUUGCAAAGAAAAUAUAUUUGCUGUUCGGCAAGCCCACACUUACUGUUGUUCAUGACUCUGGCAGUGACACAUAAUGCUGUUACAUUCUUCGUGAGCUAGUAACUAAAUACAUUCAUCAAAAAUACUGUCACUAUCGCUAAGAAUCUGCAAUUUAAAACUUAUGGAAUGAUAAAGCAACAGCUGGAGAUAAAUUUUUCUAUUUCUACUGAAAUCUUAUUUUUUUUAGAAAGUGAAUGUUUAUUGUCUGCAAAGCACCUGGAAUAAAAUAAAUGCAAUAUAAAUAACAAUUAAAAGGGAUUUUCUCCCCUAAAUUGUUCUAUAGAUUUUUUUUUUCCCCUAAAGUACUGAAGCAAAAAUAUAUCUGUAACCAUGGAGAUUAUACCAGGCAACAUGCAUAAUAAUUCAAAAUGUGGCAGCAAACAAAUGUUCUUUGUCAUGACUGGAUUACUACAAAGAAGUAGGUUUCCCCUAAACAAUUUGCAGAAGCAGAAUAGAUGUGGUUAAUUUCUCAACCCACUUUUUUGGCUGGGGACGAAGGGGAAGUCUCAGCACUAUGGUAUGGGCAGCAGGCUAGGAUUGUGUUUGCUUUGAAAACACACAGCUUUCCAGGUUGUAGAUACUUUCAACUCAUAGAUAUGAUGGUUUAGAUAGACUCAUAGAUAUGGUUUAGUGGGAGGUGUCCCUGCCCAUGGCAGGGAGGUUGGAAAUAGAUGAUCUUAAGGUCCUUUCCAACCCUAACUAUUCUAUGAUUCUAUGAUUUGCUGAAAAGAUAUUUAUCUUCAAUGAAUAGUCACAUCAGAGCAAGUAGCCCGACCACGCUGCCCGCAC